rnacentral:misc_RNA from 1 species
GAUGAAGAACGCAGCGAAAUGCGAUAAGUAAUGCGAAUUGCAGAAUUCAGUGAGUCAUCGAAUCUUUGAACGCACAUUGCGCCCUGUGGUAUUCCGCAGGGCAUGCCUGUUCGAGCGUCAUUACAACCCUCAAGCUCAGCUUGGUGUUGGGCCCCGCCGCCCCGGCGGGCCCUAAAGUCAGUGGCGGUGCCGUCCGGCUCCGAGCGUAGUAAUUCUUCUCGCUCUGGAGGCCCGGUCGUGUGCUCGCCAGCAACCCCCAAUUUUUUUCAGGUUGACCUCGGAUCAGGUAGGGAUACCCGCUGAACUUAAGCAUAUCAAUAAGCGGAGGA